rnacentral:rRNA from 1 species
AGUGAACGCUGGCGGUAGGCCUAACUCAUGCAAGUCGAACGGCAGCACAGUAAGAGCUUGCUCUUACGGGUGGCGAGUGGCGGACGGGUGAGGAAUACAUCGGAAUCUACUUUUUCGUGGGGGAUAACGUAGGGAAACUUACGCUAAUACCGCAUACGACCUACGGGUGAAAGCAGGGGAUCUUCGGACCUUGCGCGAUUGAAUGAGCCGAUGUCGGAUUAGCUAGUUGGCGGGGUAAAGGCCCACCAAGGCGACGAUCCGUAGCUGGUCUGAGAGGAUGAUCAGCCACACUGGAACUGAGACACGGUCCAGACUCCUACGGGAGGCAGCAGUGGGGAAUAUUGGACAAUGGGCGCAAGCCUGAUCCAGCCAUACCGCGUGGGUGAAGGAGGCCUUCGGGUUGUAAAGCCCUUUUGUUGGGAAAGAAAAGCAGCAGGUUAAUACCCCGCUGUUCUGACGGUACCCAAAGAAUAAGCACCGGCUAACUUCGUG